UACGUAGGCAGCAAGCGUUUGUUCGGAAUUACUGGGCGUAAAGAGUGUGUAGGCGGUGCUCUAAGUUCGGUGUGAAAGCCCCCGGCUCAACUGGGGAGGGUCAUUCGAUACUGAUCGACUUGAAGGCAGGAGAGGGAAGUGGAAUUCCCGGUGUAGUGGUGAAAUGCGUAGAUAUCGGGAGGAACACCAGUGGCGAAGGCGACUUCCUGGCCUGUUCUUGACGCUGAGGCGCGAAAGCGUGGGGAGCGAACAGG
rnacentral:rRNA from 1 species